CCAAGUUUCCACUCGGCCCUCCGGCUGCAGUCUGCGGGAGCGGAGAAACUUUGGGGCCCUCGCCGCCCGCCGGCGGCACCAUGAAGUCGGCAGAGGAAGAUUAGAAGAGGCCCUGCUGCUCUAUCACACCCAGUGCUGGAGCUCUGUGCCCCGUGCUCACCCGCAGCCUCUGAGAGGAAGCGCCAAGCUAAACAUUUCCAUCAAGACAGGAGUGUCUGCUGAAUUGGCAAAUAGCUCCAAACCAUUUACAAGAUGAAAGGCACUGGGGGAUGCUGGUAAGAGGAGCAGUUAAAAAAUGGCCACCCUAUCCGGUUACCUUGGUUGCAGGUCUGAAACUAGGUGGGGACCAGCUCAGCCUUAGGAUAAAGCAGUCCUAAAUUCUGACCGUGGGGAGCACAGGUGCCCCCAGAAGGGUAAACCCACUUUCUCCAGACACAACAGCUGAGUGAGAAGUUUUAGUCUAAGAGAUGAUAAGGGCUGUUAUUUGUGUGUAAAUUUUUGGUGGAGGUGAGAAGGUGGCUAAAGUUAAAAAAAAAA